UGGCGGCGUGCCUAAUACAUGCAAGUCGAACGAGGUGCUUUUGUAGCAAUACGAAAGUAUCCUAGUGGCGAACGGGUGAGUAACGCGUUGGUGACCUACCCCAAAGUGUGGGAUAACAGUUCGAAAGAACUGCUAAUACCGCAUGUGGUUAUCGGGUUUAGAAACUGAUAACUAAAGGAGCAAUUCGCUUUGGGAGGGACCUGCGUCCCAUCAGCUAGUUGGUGAGGUAAUGGCUUACCAAGGCGACGAUCAGUAGUUGGUCUGAGAGGACGACCAGCCACACUGGGACUGAGACACGGCCCAGACUCCUACGGGAGGCAGCAGUGGGGAAUUUUGGACAAUGGGCGCAAGCCUGAUCCAGCAAUGCCGCGUGAGUGAAGAAGGCCUUCGGGUUGUAAAGCUCUUUCAGUUGAAAAGAAAAAGCCGUGACUAAUAAUCAUGGUUCAUGACGGUAUCAACAGAAGAAGCACCGGCUAACUACGUGCCAGCAGCCGCGGUAAUACGU
rnacentral:rRNA from 1 species